AGAGUUCUAAUGGAAUGUACUUUUUUUUUUUUUUUUUUUUUUUUUUUUUUUUUUUAGAGGUAACUUGGACCUGUUCUGUGAUACUGAACAGGUCACUAGCAGAGCCAGCAAUAGUGUUGAGUCCUUUUCGUUAUCAGUUGUGCCAACACUGGAAACAAAAGUCUGGGAUCUGCAUAUCAGUCUAUGUUCUUCUAAACACAUGCAAGAACUACAGUUAGGACAUUUCGCUCUGGAUGCUUCAGAAUGAAGGAUUUCUCCAUCAAGAUUAUAUCUCCAGAAGUUGUAUAAGCUGGAAACGUAUGACAGAGCCUGCCAUGCUCAUAUCAGCCCUCGCAGAAAAGCACCGAGUUCCUCCUCCUGUCAAAACACAGCGAGAUUAGUUAGAAUUGGCUGUGUGAAAACGCUUAAGGAACAAGAUCUUGGGCAAAUAAUUCAGUUUAUUUAUGUGAAUAUUCAUUUGGAUUUUUAAACCAAUUAAUGUUGAGUGAUUUGAAAUAAUUCUGUGUUUACUAUUCAUGUUUAUCUGGGGAAUCGAUUUCUCCCGUGCGAAUUCAGCUGCCUAAGCAGGAUCCAACUGUGAACUACAAAAUGUGUGUAUCAAAAUUCCCACUGCUCUUGUUAUCUAAACUAUUCACUGAGGAACAGAAUACCAUUUAAUUUCACAAAUGAUUGUAAAGGAUCUGUUUGUCAAGAUAAUUUCUGAAUUUCUUAAGCAAAUUAAUCUUAAAAACUCUAUUCCAUAAUUUUUCACUAUAAGAAUUUCAUCACAUUUAUGAAAUUCUUCCUUUCACAUUCUCACAUUUCCAGUAAGGAUCGUGAAUAUGCCAAGAAAAUCUUGCUGCUAAGGCCAUGGACAAGAACUUUGACCUCAGUCUUCCCUGUGUAACAUUGGUCUUUUCACUACAAACUUUGUUGUAGGCUUCAGGCCAGGACCAGUCUUUUAUUCUGUGUUUGUGAAGUGCAUAAUAGCACAAUUACUCUGUCCUCCACAUAAUUCUUGUUAUAACUUAAGGCAAAACCCCCACAUAUUAAACAGCGAAUAAACCAUUUUUUCAGAACUGGUAAAACCA
rnacentral:lncRNA from 1 species